rnacentral:rRNA from 1 species
GAUGAACGCUAGCGGCAGGCUUAACACAUGCAAGUCGAGGGGCAGCGCGAUGUAGCAAUACAUUGGCGGCGACCGGCGCACGGGUGCGUAACACGUAUGGAACUUACCCUUUACUGGGAGAUAGCCCGGAGAAAUCCGGAUUAAUAUCCCAUAAUAAACGAGGUGGCAUCACUUUGUUUUGAAAGCUCCGGCGGUAAAGGAUGGCCAUGCGCACGAUUAGCUAGUAGGUGAGGUAACGGCUCACCUAGGCUACGAUCGUUAGGGGGCCUGAGAGGGUUAUCCCCCACACUGGUACUGAGACACGGACCAGACUCCUACGGGAGGCAGCAGUGAGGAAUAUUGCGCAAUGGAGGCAACUCUGACGCAGCCAUGCCGCGUGAGCGAUGAAGGCCUUGGGUCGUAAGCUCUUUCGGCCGGGAAGAAAUCGCACAGGUUAAUACCCUGUGUCGGAUGACGGUACCGGAAUAAGAAGCACCGGCUAACUACGUGCCAGCAG